rnacentral:tRNA from 1 species
GGGUCGUUAGCUCAGGGGGAGAGCACUACCUUGACACGGUAGGGGCCACUGGUUCAAAUCCAGUACGACCCA